rnacentral:tRNA from 1 species
GCUAAUUUGGCAGAAAAGUGCUUUAAACUUAGAAUUUAAAAAUGUAAAUAUUAUACUACAGUUAGUA